rnacentral:rRNA from 1 species
CUUGAGAGUUUGAUCCUGGCUCAGAACGAACGCUGGCGGUAGGCCUUAGACAUGCAAGUCGAACGAGAAAUAUACUUCGGUAUAGAGUACAGUGGCGGACGGGUGAGUAACGCGUAGGGAGUUACCCAGUAGUGGGGAAUAACCAUUGGAAACGAUGGCUAAUACCGCAUACGCCCUUCGGGGGAAAGAUUUAUUGCUAUUGGAAACGCCUGCGUUAGAUUAGCUAGUUGGUAGGGUAAGAGCCUACCAAGGCAACGAUCUAUAGCUGGUUUGAGAGGAUGAUCAGCCACACCGGAACUGAGACACGGUCCGGACUCCUACGGGAGGCAGCAGUCGGGAAUAUUGUACAAUGGGGGGAACCCUGAUACAGCCAUACCGCGUGAGUGAUGAAGGCCCUUGGGUUGUAAAGCUCUUUCACUAAUGAGGAUGAUGACGUUAAUUAGAGAAGAAGUCCCGGCUAACUUCGUGCCAGCAGCCGCGGUAAUACGAAGGGGACUAGCGUUGUUCGGAUUUACUGGGCGUAAAGCGUGCGUAGGCGGUCUUUUUAGUUAGGUGUGAAAUCCCAGGGCUCAACCUUGGAACUGCACUUAAUACUGGAAGACUAGAAUUUUGGAGAGGAUAGUGGAAUUUACAGUGUAGAGGUAAAAUUCGUAGAUAUUGUAAGGAACACCGAUGGCGAAGGCAGCUAUCUGGACAAAUAUUGACGCUGAGGCACGAAAGCGUGGGGAGCAAACAGGAUUAGAUACCCUGGUAGUCCACGCCGUAAACGAUGAGUGCUAGCUGGCAGGUAGCAAGCUAUUUGCUGGCGUCGCUAACGCAUUAAGCACUCCGCCUGGGGAGUACGGUCGCAAGAUUAAAACUCAAAGGAAUUGACGGGGACCCGCACAAGCAGUGGAGCAUGUGGUUUAAUUCGACGCAACGCGCAGAACCUUACCUACCCUUGACAUCCCAAUCGCGAAAAUCAGAGACGAUUUUCUUCAGUUCGGCUGGAUUGGUGACAGGUGCUGCAUGGCUGUCGUCAGCUCGUGUCGUGAGAUGUUUGGUUAAGUCCAGCAACGAGCGCAACCCACGCCAUUAUUUGCCAUCAUUUAGUUGGGAACUCUAAUGGAACUGCCAGUGAUAAGCUGGAGGAAGGUGUGGAUGACGUCAAGUCCUCAUGGCCCUUACGGGUAGGGCUACACACGUGCUACAAUGGCAACGACAGAGGGCAGCAACACGGCGACGUGAAGCUAAUCCCUAAAAGUUGUCUCAGUUCGGAUUGUUCUCUGCAACUCGAGAGCAUGAAGUUGGAAUUGCUAGUAAUCGUAGAUCAGCAUGCUACGGUGAAUACGUUCCCGGGUCUUGUACACACCGCCCGUCACACCAUGGGAGUUGGUUUUACCCGAAGGUACCAGGCUAACCGCAAGGAGGCAGGUAACCACGGUAAGAUUAAUGACUGGGGUGAAGUCGUAACAAGGUAGCCGUAGGGGAACCUGCGGCUGGAUCACCUCCUUU